GAUUCACUAGUGAAUUCCAGGCCGGAUAGGGGAUCUACAUGUACCCGGUGUGCAACGAGAGGUGAGAGCUUUGGCACAUCUCGCAUCCGUGGAGAAGGCUGUAGAACACCGGCUGGAGGGCACGCAUUAUCCCACUGUGCAGAUGGGCUUCCACUACUGAAUGUCGGUGAGCCACCAGACGGAUGGCGUAGAGGGACAGCAAUCUCUUCCAAUGCCAGAUCCCAGAGAAGCAGUUGGGUAUCCUAAGUGCAAGCAAAGUGAAAAGAUACAAGAGCUGCAACUCAGCAAGAUUGGAGUGGGACAGCCAAAAUACAAUGAAGCUGUCACUUCACAUCUAACACACUAUGUUCGUCUUCGCUGAUGCAUGCACUACAAGUUACUGCACUAUUCGCUGAGUAGAGUUUGAAUAUGAAGAUGAGGAUGGAUAAGCUGUUGGAGAUAGUCUCAGCAAAUUCUAACAGAUCGCAGUGUACUGCAUGUCGGCUUGUGUAACUCGUAGGACCACUACCAUAUCAAGAAAUAAAUAUUUAAUACUGGUAA